rnacentral:rRNA from 1 species
UGGGGAAUAUUGCACAAUGGGGGAAACCCUGAUGCAGCGACGCCGCGUGAACGAAGAAGGUAUUCGUAUCGUAAAGUUCUGUCCUAUGGGAAGAUAAUGACAGUACCAUAGAAGAAAGCUCCGGCUAAAUACGUGCCAGCAGCCGCGGUAAUACGUAUGGAGCGAGCGUUGUCCGGAAUUAUUGGGCGUAAAGGGUACGCAGGCGGCUUAAUAAGUCGAAUGUUAAAGAUCGGGGCUCAACCCCGCAAAGCAUUGGAAACUGAUAAACUUGAGUAGUGGAGAGGAAAGUGGAAUUCCUAGUGUAGUGGUGAAAUACGUAGAUAUUAGGAGGAAUACCAGUAGCGAAGGCGACUUUCUGGACACAAACUGAUGCUGAGGUACGAAAGCGUGGGGAGCAAAGAGG